rnacentral:tRNA from 1 species
GCGGGAUUAGUAUAGUGGUAGUACCCAUGCUUCCCAAGCAUGUAGCGCCGGUUCGAUUCCGGUAUCCCGCU